ensembl:lncRNA
AAAAGCCGUGUACUUUUUAAAGGAAUCCGGAAGUACUUAGGGGGGACGUGUCAGUCACUGUUUACAGAGCAUCCACUGUGGACCAGGCCCUCCGGCCAGCAUGCUGCCUACACUUCAUCCUGGUCACAAGCUGAAAGGGUCGGCUCUUGAUGACGACCUCUCACUCAGGAGAAAACAGACACUCUGACUUUAGAGAUCAGAGAUCCACCAUGGUCCAAGGCCUGUGAGCUCCACUGCUCUGCUGAAACCUCGGGGAACUGAGCAGCUGAAUAGCAGGAAGGGCUCCAUUCACAGAACACCUGUGCUGCUGGCAUCCAGGAAGCUGUUGUGACCUGCGCUGGGCGCUCUUUGGACUAGUUAGCACCUUAACCAUCUACUUAUGCUGACAGACAAGAUGAAGACAAUGACACCUCUGGACCAAACAAUCUUUACAGAGUCUAGCUUGGUGGUGCUAUUUCAAGUUAAGAAGAAAAAGGCUCAAACGUGUCCUUUAAAUUCAAAACAUGGUUCAUGGGAAUUCUGUCAGUCCCAUAAAAGCCAAAUAUUAAAACUUGGAAAAAGUACAAUAAGAAUUCGUGUUCAUAAUUCUGUGGGACACAGAGCAAGUCUCUGAAGGCUGAUGAUACACACAGGAAAAAUAUAACAAAACGGGAGAUCAAGGGCUGCUUCCAUAUUUCUGCAGUGGCAGAACCAAAAUUUUGCCUUCAUUCAGUAAGAGAGAAAAUGUCCAUAAUUUACUGUCUGGAAAGAGACAAUCCUUUUCAAUAUAACCUGAAAUGUUGACCUCCUGCUCCACUGUACAGAACACUCUAAAAGAGUGCAUUACAAAGAGCACAUCCCACCAUAGAGAUACCAGUUUACGUAUCUAUACCGUGGGUCAGUUAAGGAUGAAAAAGAUUAAGGACUGGCAGUAUUUAAAUUUUUUUGUCUUUUUGUCUUCUACAGCUGCACCCAUGGCAUAUGUUCCCAGGCUAGGGGUCCGAUUGGAUCUGUAGCCACUGGCCAACACCACAGCCACAGCAACGCGGGAUCCGAGCUGCAUCUGCAACCUACACCACAGCUCAUGGCAACGCUGUGUCCUUAACCCACUGAGCGAGGCCAGGGAUCAAACCCUCGUCCUCAUGGAUGCUGGUUGGGUUCAUUAAUCACUGAGCCAUCACGGGAACUCCUUAAAUUUUUUUAAUGUUAAAAGUAUUCCAACUCAAAUACACGUGCUGUUGUGCAGUUCAUCGUCAAUGCAAAUAAGGAUGAGGAAAAAUGGAUCACACUCACAGCACCUUUCCUUCCGAGGAUCUCUAGGAACUCUGCCAACUCUGGGCCCAGAGGCACCUGGAGGCGGGCAGCGGCAGCCUUCCCCGCGGGAGGCCAAGGGGGAAUCUCUGGGGCUGAGACAACCAAGGCCUAAAUCAGCAGCUGCCAAAUUUCUGUGACUGUGGUUCACAGAAAGAAAACCAGAGUUUCAUGAAUUUAUCCUUCCUGCCUGCAAGACAUUCUGAUGCUUUCUAGUCUAUCCUACUUCUCUUAUUAUUUCUUCUUUUUACAGCCAUACCUGCAGCAUACGGAAGGUGCCAGGCCAGGGGUCGAAUCCAACUAUGCCACAGCCACAGCAAUGCCAGAUCUGAGCCGCAUCUGUGACCUACGCCACAGCUUGCGUCAACACCAGGUCCUUAACCCAGGAAUGACUAAGAGCAUGUGCCCAAAGGAUCAAACCUACAUCCUCAUGGAUACUAUGUCAGGAUCUGGACCUGCUGAUCCACAACGGGAACCCCUGCUUCUCUUAUUAUUACUGUUAUUGUUGUUGUUGUUGUAGUGGAUAUUGGUUACCAUCUGCUAAAAUGACUUCAAGAUCCACUUCCAGGUCUAAGCCACUGCCUCAAACACACAAGUUUCCUGGGACCCUGGCCCAGGCAGGCGUCUCUUCCUUUCUGCACACUUCCUGGAUCCCCCAGCCUCUCUCUGGCUCCAGCGACCAUCUGUAUGGAAGGACCCUGGCCCUGGUCCCACUUGGGGGCUCCAGACCCACACCUCCAAAUGCCCACUGGAUGGCCCCACUUGGACAUUCCAAAAGCAACCUGAAAAUCAUGUCCAAAAGUGUAUCUUAUGACGACUCUUCCCGAGCCUUAAUAAAUAGCACCAACCCAGCUAUCCAAGCCAGAAACCUGGGCCUCCUCUCCUUUCCCCUCCCUCUCACAGCCAAUCAAUCGCCAAGUCCUGCUGAUGAUAACUUCUGGGUUCUCUUGAAUCCUUCCACUGCUCUCCAACUCCCCCUCCCAUUAUCACUUGAUGGGGCUAAGGCCAAAAGCCCACAGUGCAGCUCCUCCCCCUUCCCAGUCCCCUCCCCAAGCCAGCGUGACCUUUCAGAAAUGCAAACCCCAUCAUGUGACCCGCCUCCUUGCUUGGUGCGAUGCUGGGGGCGGCCCAGGCCCUGUCCCCCAGCCUUGGCUCCUGUGUCUCCCCUCGUUCUCAGUCGUGGCUCUGACUAUACGUGACAGUCACCUGGACACCUUUUACAAAUACCAGAGCCCAGGCCUCACUUUAGGACAAUUAGAUCCAAAUCUCAUUAGUGACUACUGGACGCAUGCGCCCCCCCCCCAUUUUCUUCUCAAGGGUCCAACCCCCUUAAUCCCCCAGGUAAGGCCUGAGUUCUUAGAAUCCUUAACUCCCUCCAUCACAACCCAGUGGGCUGUCAAGUUGCCUAGCCUGGCACCAGUGGCUACUCAACAGAGACCCACUAGAUGGAUACAAGAAUGGGUUAAUCCUAGUAUCAAAUAAGCUGGGAAACUACCAUUGAGGGAAGCUGGAAAAAGAAAAAAACAAAAAUAAAAACAAAAGCACUACUGAUGUACAAGGUGUCAGUCAACAUCUGUGACAUGGUGACAGAAAUUCUCAUUUCCGAGGAGUGUGUGGGGUUGGCAAGCAGAGGCUAAUUGGUGCCUAUAUUCAAGUGUGUCUUAGGAAAGCUUUUCUAAAGGAACAUAUCCUCAGAGUUUUCCUGGUUCAUCAAAGACGCCAGACUGGGAGUCCUUUCCCCCGUUUCACAAGGGAUCAGACCAAGUUGCCCCAAAGGACCAAAGGCGACCAGAGGAAGGUGGACCAGUGAGCACGCACAGUCCCUGAUGCCCUCCCCACCCGGCGCAGUUAAACAGUGGGGCGCGAACGCAUAGAGGCGUUCCGGAGCUAACCUUCUCCCGGCACCUGCUUCUCAGCUGUAUUUCACACGAUGCUUAUUAAGGCACCCAUUAAAGUCUUGCUAGUAAUUGAAAAAAUUAUAUAUGUGCAAGGAGAAUGAGUUAAUGUUCACAGAGGCACCUUUACUUUUCCAUCUCCUGGCUUCUUAUUUUCAGGUGCCUUAACCUUGCAUUUUUGUGGGGUUCUUUACAUUUUACACGUACGUGUAAAGUCACAUUUGAGAUAUAAUUCCAUUAGCCGUACCAGCAACUUCGCAGGCUAUUAUGUUGCAUCAACUUUUUCUGUAAAAAUAAAUUGUUCAGGAUAUUAUUCCUGGAACAGAAUAAAUUCUUGGAAUUACUGAGUAACUUAUGUGCCGUACCACUGUUCCAAGAACACAUUACUUAUUUUAUCAUGACAAAGUCAAGUUAUUAAUCUUCUGGCUUCCAUUUCAACAAUGAGAAAUUCUGCGAGAUGCGCAGCAGACACCUGCAUUGCAUUUCGGUUCAACUUUAUAUCGUCCAUAAACAUCUCUGUUUUGGACACCUCAUCCAAACAAAUGCUCUCAGCAUACUCUACGUCGCAUUCAAUUUUAUGAAACUAUAAAAGUUCCUUGCUGUUAAUUACAGAGACAAAUGUCUCAUCACGCAUUUGGUUACCAGAUAGUGUAAUUAGUUUUCUCCAUUAACCUUUCAGAUAUAAAAUUUGAUUUCCAAGUUAAAAAAAAAAACAACAACGUUGUAAAACCCUUGGAAUUCAAAUAACACGGUAGAUUUGGAUGGGCUUGAAAAAAUAUGCAAUACUAAGAAAACAAUUUUACGGAUUCUGAUUUACAAGGAUACUGAUUGUCUGGAAUCCUGAAAGACAAUGUCCACACUUCUUAAUGGUUUUCAAAUAUAUGAUCAAAUGUGCAUGGAGUAAGCUGUCCUCUGUGCGGAAAGGAGGCAGAGCGACCUGACUGUGAACGGAAUGUGCCCCUCUGGUCUCUCGCUUCUUGGGAUAGUGACGCAGUUGAAUGGGUCCAUCAUAGCCUCUGUCAUUGGUCCCCCUUCGUACGGGCAUCUGAGAGUGAGCGGGCAAGGGAAGGGCAUCCAGUCUAUGGCAAUACAAUGGUUUUUCUCCGCUCGAAGCUAAAGGACC